rnacentral:rRNA from 1 species
AAACACAUGCAAGUCGAACGGUUAAGCCACCUUCGGGUGGGAAUAAAGUGGCGAACGGCUGAGUAACACGUGGGCAACCUGCCCCUCGCACCGGGACAGCCUCGGGAAACCGUGGAUGAUACCGGAUACUCCGCCUCCCCCGCAUGGGGAGGGCGGGAAAGCCCAGACGGCGAGGGAUGGGCCCGCGGCCUGUUAGCUAGUUGGCGGGGCAGCGGCCCACCAAGGCGAUGAUGGGUAGCCGGGUUGAGAGACCGACCGGCCAGAUUGGGACUGAGACACGGCCCAGACUCCUACGGGAGGCAGCAGUGGGGAAUCAUGCACAAUGGGCGGAAGCCUGAUGCAGCGACGCCGCGUGCGGGACGAAGGCCUUCGGGCUGUAAACCGCUUUCAGCAGGGACGAGGCGCAAGUGACGGUACCUGCAGAAGAAGCCCCGGCUAACUACGUGCCAGCAGCCGCGGUAAUACGUAGGGGGCAAGCGUUAUCCGGAUUCAUUGGGCGUAAAGCGCGCGUAGGCGGCCAGCCUGGUCGGGAGUCAAAUCCGGGGGCUCAACCCCCGUCCGCUCCCGAUACCGGCCGGCUUGAGUCUGGCAGGGGAAGGCGGAAUUCCCGGUGUAGCGGUGGAAUGCGCAGAUAUCGGGAAGAACACCGGUGGCGAAGGCGGCCUUCUGGGCCACGACUGACGCUGAGGCGCGAAAGCUAGGGGAGCGAACAGGAUUAGAUACCCUGGUAGUCCUAGCCGUAAA